rnacentral:lncRNA from 1 species
CCUAAUUCUUCUGGGAAAUUAGUGGUUUAAAUUUGAAAUCACUGCCAAUGAUAAAGCAUUCGGAGUGAAAUAUCUGCUUUCCACUUUUGUUUUUCACGGGUGCUGAUGGAAGGAGAGUUCUGCUUCACCUAGAAGACCAUGGUGAGCAGCUGAUGAGUGGAUUCGUCUGAAACUGACUAGACCUCCGCUGCCUCCGUCCCUAAGUACACCACUAACGCAAGCAGGUCCAGCUCCCGUUCUACAGGGAAUCUGCACUCCAUCGUGACGUUGCUGCCAUACUCCACCACGUACAAGUCCUUUGGAGCCGUGAUAGUAAACGCUGAAAAGGAAAGAGGACCAGCCCUCAGAAGACAGAAAACUCCUCCAAACACAUCUGAAAACCUGGGUAAAAGGUUACUAUCAUUUUAUUUAGGGAAUCACAUGAACACUAAAAUUCUUCUUUGAAAUAACUUCAUGGGGC